rnacentral:rRNA from 1 species
AUGGCGGAGUCCCGCAGCAGCAACCGGGGGGCAAAGGCGAAGGCGAAGGCGAUGGCGAUGGAGGAGGAGCCGUGGGUGAAGCUUAUCCGGGAGUCCCUUACCGUGGAGGAGGAGGAGGACGUGGACACCCGCGUGUCCGUGUUCGACGUGCCCAAGCAGCUGCAGGUGCACAAGCCCGAGGCCUACUGCCCCCAGUUCAUCGGCCUGGGCCCCUACCACCACCGGCACCCCGAGCUGUACGGCAUGGAGCGCUACAAGAUCGACGCCGCCCGCCGCGCGCUCAAGCGCCUCCUCUGCGCAGCAGCUGGGCCCAGCCACGACGUCCUCGACGAGCUCGUCAACGAGCUCAUGGGCCACGACCUCAAGGUCCGCGCCCACUACCACCGGUACCUCGAGCUGAGUAGGGAGGCGCUCUCGCUGAUGAUGAUCAUGGACGGCGCCUUCCUGCUCGAGUUCCUCACGAUCCACCACCACACCGCUGCUGAGGGGGAGAGGGAGGGGGAGGGGGCCUCUUCGAGUUGGACCAAGAGGAUGGAGCACCUCGUCGACUUGGGCGGGAGCGGGACCGGGAGGAAGUCCGCGCACGGCCUCAUUCUCCGCGACAUGCUCAUGCUCGAGAACCAGAUCCCGCUCUUCGUCCUCGCCAUGAUCAAGGCCAAGUGCUCGUCGGUGUCGGUCGACGAGGCGAGCAGGCGGCUCACUCUCAUGGUGACAGAGCUCAUGAGGGAGCUCUGUCCGUUUAAGAUGGAGGGCCACUUCCCGGAGACCUCAUGCGAUGUCACCAAGCACGCGCACCUGCUCGAGCUGCUCUACCACCUGGUGGUGCCGGUGGUGCCCACGCCCACCGACACUACCGAGAACGCACACACCACCCCACCGUUUUCCGGCCACAUCGUGGAGAUGCCGGAACCGGAAGGCGGCGGCCAAGGCCAGGAGAAGCCUUCCGCCUGCACCGGCAACGAGCACGCGAUGAUGCAAUUGUUCGAGUUCAUCGCGUUGAAGCUCAAGGGCGGUCGCCUUGGCAAGGUGAUGAAGCCGAUCGAGCUUGUGGUGAAGGCGCCGUGGAACAAGCUUGCCGGUAUACCUGGUGUCGAGUCCUUCAUGUCUGCCGACGCCAGCCAGCAAGAGAUCACGAUCCCAUCGGUGUCGGAGCUGGUUAGCUCCGGCGUCAAGUUUAAGCCCACCAGCGGCGACCUGUCCACUGCGUCAACUAUCGCCUUCGACCGCAAGACAGCGACGCUCCGCCUCCCCGUGGUGACCCUCGACGGCAACACGGAGGUGGUGCUCCGGAACCUGGUCGCCUACGAGUCAUCCGCCGCGUCAGGCCCACUGGUGCUCACCCGGUACACGGAGCUCAUGAACGGCAUCAUCGACACCGACGACGACGUUGCGCUGCUCCGCAAGCGGGGCGUGGUGCUCAACCACAUGAAGAAGAGGGACGGCGAGGCGGCCAAGCUGUGGAACGGCAUGAGCCGGUCGGUGCAGCACUCCAGGGUGCCGGCCUUGGACAAGGUGAUCGAGGAGGUGAACCGCUACUACGACGGUCGGUGGAGCGUCAAGACGAAGCGGUUCAUGCGCAAGUACGUGCUCAGCUCAUGGAAGAUGCUCACCUUCCUCGCCACCAUCAGCAUGCUGCUGCUCACCACGGUGCAGGCCUUCUGCUCCGUCUACACAUGCUACCGAUGGUGGUUUGGCGACCUGGUCGCCGUCGUGCCGUCGGACUCGGAGUAG